rnacentral:rRNA from 1 species
AGAGUCUAGCCUGCCCACUGACGGAAGUUAAAGGGCCGCGGUAUUUUGACCGUGCGAAGGUAGCAUAAUCAUUAGUCUUUUAAUUGGGGGCUUGUAUGAAUGGUUGGACAAAAAAUAAGCUGUCUCUGUUUUAUUUCUUGAAUUUAACUUUUAAGUGAAAAGGCUUAAAUGUUCUAGGGGGACGAUAAGACCCUAUAAAGCUUUACAGUGUAUUAAUUAAAUUUUAAAUUGUUAGUAUUAACUUAGUUUAUUUAGUAACUGUUUCGUUGGGGCGACGAAAAUAUAAUAAAUAGUAACUGUUUUUCUUUAUAAUAUAACAAAAAUUUUUGGAAGUAAUUGAUCCUUUCUUAAAGAUUAAAAGAUUAAGUUACUUUAGGGAUAACAGCGUAAUCUUCUUUGAGAGUUCAUAUCGACAAGAAGGAUUGCGACCUCGAUGUUGAAUUAAGGUUUCCUUGAGGUGUAGCAGUUUCAUGGGAAGGUC